rnacentral:lncRNA from 10 species
AGUCCCGGCAGAGGGCUCCGCGAAGACAGUGCCGUCGUUGGGCGCGCGCGCGGGCGGGAGCUGUCGGGGCGGGGCGGCACCGCCGAGCUCCGAGCUUUCCAGAAGCAAAAACAAAAAAAGUUCGGGUACAGCGGCUCACACCUGUAAUCCCAGCUCUUAGGGAGAUGGAAACUGGAGGAUCACUUGAGGCCAGGAGUUCAAGACCAGCCUGGGCAACAUAGCAAGACCCAGUCUCUUAAAAGAAAAUUAAAAAGAAAGAGUAAAUAAAGUUCCAGAAGCUUUGCUCUCCUUA